rnacentral:rRNA from 1 species
GGAUUAUUGGGUUUAAGGGUGCGCAGGCGGGGGAUUAGGUCGGCGGUGAAAUAUCAGGGCUCAACCUUGAGAGUGCCGUCGAAACCGGUUUUCUUGAGUGCGGAUGAAGUAGGCGGAAUUUGUGGUGUAGCGGUGAAAUGCGUAGAUAUCACAAAGAACACCGAUUGCGGAGGCAGCUUACUAAACCGCAACUGACGCUCAUGCACGAAGGCGUGGGGAUCAAACAGGAUUAGAUACCCUGGUAGUCCACGCAGUAAACGAUGAUUACUAGCUGUUUGCGAUACAAUGUAAGCGGCUGAGCGAAAGCGUUAAGUAAUCCACCUGGGGAGUACGUUCGCAAGAAUGAAACCCAAAGGAAUUGACGGGGGCCCGCACAAGCGGAGGAACAUGUGGUUUAAUUCGAUGAUACGCGAGGAACCUUACCCGGGCUUGAAAUGCAUCUGACCGGGCCGGAAACGGUCUUUCCCAGCGAUGGGCAGAUGUGUAGGUGCUGCAUGGUUGUCGUCAGCUCGUGCCGUGAGGUGUCGGCUUAAGUGCCAUAACGAGCGCAACCCUCAUCGUCAGUUACCAUCGGGUAAAGCCGGGGACUCUGACGAGACUGCCAUCGUAAGAUGCGAGGAAGGUGGGGAUGACGUCAAAUCAGCACGGCCCUUAUGUCCGGGGCGACACACGUGUUACAAUGGGCGGUACAGCGGGGAGCUACCUGGCGACAGGGAGCCGAUCCCGAAAGCCGCUCACAGUUCGGAUCGGAGUCUGCAACUCGACUCCGUGAAGUCGGAUUCGCUAGUAAUCGCGCAUCAGCCACGGCGCGGUGAAUACGUUCCCGGGCCUUGUACACACCGCCCGUCAAGCCAUGGGAGUCGGGG